GAGUUGUUUCUAAGAUCAAUCCAGAGGUUCUGAAAACUGUGAUUGCAAAUGGUUCCUUCGGUCUGAAUAAAUCGGGUUCUGUUCCUUGUACGCCAAAGGAAGAUACUGCCUUUCCUUCAUUGCCACUUCAUGAUUCUACCGUUAGGUAAAAACCUUAGAAAAAGUGAAAGAAUAAAAAAAAAAAAAAAGAGAGAGAGAGAGAGAAGCUUUUUCGCCUUUUCGUCACUUGCAUGUAGCUAAAGAGUAUUUUCUGGGAUUUUUUAGGCAAAAUUGUGAUCCUAAAAAAGGUACUGAAACUGCUCCCAUGACGAUUUUCUACAAUGGGAUGGUCGCUGUUUUUGAUGUUUCUCCAGAUAAGGUUCAUUUUUUAUUUUUUUUUCAAAUUAUCAUUAAUUAACAAAAAGAAACUGAACUUUUUUUUAAAAAAAAUAAAAUAAAAUUAACGAAUGGUACACUGCAGGCGCAGGAUAUUCUCCUACUUGCUGAGGAAGAAGUUAAAAAACCUGCUGAAUCCUCAGAUUCUAAAGUGACAUCUGACCAAAAGAAUAUACUGGGAACCCUUAAUGGAGGUGUGUAUCAAUUUUUCUUCCUUUAGGCAUGUUUGUUGUUGGAUAUUGGUUAAAUAAAUUGAGAAUUGAAAAUCGAUUAAAGUUCGUAUCGAAUUCGGCCAAAUACUCAAAAGCUCGACUCAAUCCGUUUAGGCAAAAUUGUUUGCCACUUCGCCGCUUCGGGGCGCACAAACGGGGAUCGACCUGCCCGGUCAGGUCGCGGUUGGUGGAGUGGUGAACGUACUCAUGAAGAAAAUGAUGAUUACAAGGAAAUGAAAGAAUUUAGAGUGAUGAAUGAAGAAAAUAUUGUAGAAUCAAAAGUGUCUCUAGCUUGCGGCAAAUCUUGGGGGUUGCUUUUUCCGAUAAAAGUUGGUUACAUAUCUUUAUGUUAUUUAUACCAGUAAUUGACAGCAUCUUAGUAUGGCAUAGCCUUAGAAAAAUAAGGCUUCACUGAGGAAACACUUACAUUGGAUAUUCAGGCACUCAUUGACGAGGAAGGGCAUAGUAAUCAACGAAUUUGUUCAAGAAAUUUUUUUUAAAAAAAAAAUUACCCUUUUUUUAAACUCGUUUAUUUUAUUUUAAUAGGGCAGAAGAGGAAAAUUAUAUUUUUUUGGACGGUUGCAAUGAUAUAACAAUGUUAUUAUGAAUUUACUUGCAGGUCGAAUAUGGUGGAACCAUAUGGAUGUCCAAACAAGCACUUUAAUUUUGGCCACAUGAUAUUCAGCUAAACAACGAGAAAAAAAAUAUAUGUCCGUUGUUGGGAAAUGGGAAUUGCUAUCGUUUAUUUAUAAUUGAAUCUUGUUUGACGUAUUAGUCUAUUAAUCCUAAUCUUUUAUCAAGUAGGGUCGUGACCUCUCUUUCCUUGCAAUUUCUCCUUGUCUUGUUUUACCACAUUUUAGUCAUGUGUACAGAAAUAAGAAUAUAUUGUUACUUUUCAAAGUCUAAUCGUAUUACUAUAUAUUAAUUUUAAAUUUUAUUAUUUAGUAGCAAUUGUUUGUGGUUUUGGUAAGAGUCGCUUAAAAGAAUUGUCGACGGUGGGGUACAUAAGAACGACCAGCACCUAACAUUUUUUACCAAAAUUGAAGUGGAAACUUGCAUGUUUGAGACUUUGAAACAUUGGAUUGAUAUACUAGUCAACUUCUGCUAGGUGUAAGAAAUGUUCAAAAUGAUCAAGAAGUCUUUUCUAUUCUAUUGCCUAAAAUACAGUUCAAUUAGUUAGAAAAUGUUCUACCAAAUCUCUUAUCAGAUUCAACAUAAUAGAUUUUAAGAUUUUUCGAAUUCUACAAUACACCACAACAAUAGGGAAGAACAAGAGCGGUGUUAGAAAUUAGGUUAAAAGUUUAGAACUAUGUAAUAACAAAGCAACACUAAUUGAAAAUACUCGCUCUACAAUAACAACUAAAAGAAUUAGUGUUAAAGUCAAAAGCUUCUAAACCAUUGGAUAUGAUUUACUUUUCUUUGUCAUAACUAAUUUCUCUAUGAGAUCAUUAUGGUCAUUCAAUGCCGAGACGUCGCCAUUCAAUGCCUUUGCCUUCCCUUUCUAUAACAUACCUAGGCGCUUCAAACUCUUUCUUAUAGCACAUAUCAAAAAUAUAAUUUCAAGUUGAUCAUCAAGUGUCAAGAGAUUUACCUUUGAAAAUUUUUUUUGAAUAAAAUUAAGCACUUUGAACUCAAUCUCUAAUUUCAAACAACCUCUUGCAGCUAAAUAGGGGUAGCAAUUGGGUCGAGUUGCUUGGGGCUCAUGGACUUGGCUCGUCCCUACUCGAUACAUGAAUGGCUCAGGCUCGUUUUGAGCCAAGCAUUGGCCGAACCAAGUUGACAUUAUUAUUCACAAGCCAAGGGUGUAUGCGGGCAAGCUCAUACGGGCUUGUACGCCUGCUAUUAUUUUUACCUUAAAUUUGGACUUGUUUUAUAGAUUUAAAAAAAAAAAAAAAAAAGUUGCUCAUUUUUUUGUUUGUUUAUUUUGUUAGUUUAUUUUUUAAAACAAAAAUUAAAAAAUUGAGUACACUCACGGGGAUUCGGCUUGUUUAGGCUGAAUGGUUCGUUUAGGUUCGUGGGUAGUUCGUCUCAUGAGACCCACGAGCUUAGGGUCGAGCUGAGCCCAUAUUUUGAUCACGAGCUUGUAAGGACCAAUCUGACUCUAUUGAACCAUUGCCGCCUCUAUCACUAAGCAAUUCUUUGCCAUGUAGGGCUUGUACAUGCAAUUUCAUGAAGCUUAUACAUCUGAUUGCUGGUGUUGCAUCAUAUUACAUAUUGCAAACUCUGACCUCUUGUGUGUAAAUUUCUCAUUAGGUUUGAGGCUUUUAUGCUCAAUAGCGCAUAUUUAAGUCUUGCUAUGCCAAAAGCGUAGACACUCCCAAAAAUAAGGUGUAUUUACUAUGCAUAUUGAGCUUAUGUUCUUUGAUUUAUAUAGUGUUCGGUUGUUUUUGAGUAUGGAGGAUGAUUUAUUUGCUACGUUGAAUCAUUUAAGUCUACUUGUUCCAUGGGUAUAACAUAAACAAUUAAAGAUUUUCUACGAUUUAAUUGAGUUGAGAUAUGUUGUCUCCAUUUUGCCUUUAUUCCUUAAGUGCACAUGUCGCGUUUACGUAGGAUCUUUAUUACUACUUAAAUUAUCUUGAUAUUAGUAAAAUUAAAGUUGAACAUGAUUUUAAACCAUUUAUAUUAUAAGUAAAUUAAGAUUUAAGCAGGGCAAGAUUAUCUACUAAAAGAAGAAACUUGUAAAAGUUUUGUCCAUGCCAAAGAAAAAGCUAAGAAAUGAGGCAAACAAAAUGACACCUUCCAACACCACGACCUUGAUUGCUGAAUGUUCAUCAAAUGAAGGGAAUGAUAAUGAGGCGUUCCUUAUGUGGCGUUGUUGGGCACAACAAAAGGAAGUAUAAAGAUCGAAAAUCACCUGCUGCAAACUGAAUAAGACCAAUCUAGGACCUGCCUUUUUUUUGUUUGUUUAGCAUUUUUUGUUAAUGUAUUGCAUUGGACUGGAAUUAUUUUAUAAUUUUAAUGUGUUAUUAUUGUAUAUUGUUCAAAAUAAUCGUGUGUGGAAUGAAAAACAAAACUUGGAGGCCAGAAAAUUAGCCUAUGCAGUCGCAUAGGCCAAAAGAGGUUGUCGUAGCAUAUGCAUAGACAGGCCCUAAAGUCCUUGCUGUAUGUUGAUCUAUGCGAUAUGCGACCACAUAGAACACUUUUUUAGUCAUUAUGGCUGUUUUUGUUUGAAAUUCAAGUGGUCUUUCAUCUUGUUUUGGUAUCACUUCUUGGCAUCUUAUUGCGACCUAUAAAUAAGUGAUUGAUGUUCAUUACAACACACUUAAAAAAUCAAUUUUGUGAUUAUAAUUUCGUUCCUCAAAAGAAAAAAAAAAUCUCUCCCUAUCAUAUUCAUAUUCUGAUUUUAUGUUCUCAAGUUUUAGAGGAUUUUACUUGUGCUUAAGUUAUUAAUUAUUUUCAAGGCUUGAUUAAUCCUACAAACCAUUUGCCGAUAAUCCUUUUAAGCACAAAAUUUCAAUCCGAGAGAGGGCAAAUAUCGUUUGAAAACAACGAUAACGCAUUCGGGCCUUCUUCUUCAUAUUUUAUUCCUUGUUUUAUUCUUUGUUUCUUCUCCAUUCUCUUCUUUGUGAAGACAUAUUUCCAACAAUUUCAAAUGAUAUUUCUAUAAUGGAGAAUGAAACCACUAUGGUGACGAUCAAGUUGCCGAAUCAAGAUCUUAGUCGUUUGGACUGUUUUGAUAGUUCUAACUUCACAAGAUGGUAAGACAAGUAGAAAUUUGUACUCACAUAUACUUGAUCUGAAAUUGGCACCGCUAUCGGAACCAACAAACGGAGAAACAGAUGCCAUAAAAGUCGAAAGACAAAAUGGUCAAGAGGAUGAGUUGAUUUGCCAUGGUUAUAUACUUAAGGUAUUAUUCGAUCGGGUGUAUGCUAUUUAUACCGACACUUCUUCUGCAAAAGAAAUUUGGAACGCCUUGAAAAUGAAGUAUAAAGUCGAAGAAGAAGGUACUAAGAAAUUCUUACUUUCAAAGUAUUUAGAUUUUAAAUUUCUAGAUAAUAUUCCCCUUCUUCACCAAGUAUAUGAAUUACAAUUUCUUGUCAAUAAGUUAAAGGCGGUCAAAAUUUAGAUCCCGAAAACUUUUCAAGUGGGAGCAAUUCUUGCAAAACUCACGAGAACUUGGAAAGGAUAUCUAAAGAAUAUCGUGCAUAGUUCUGUUACUUUUUGGAAUAAUUGCAGAAACAUUUUCUCAUUAAGGAAGAGUCCAAGAUGAGAGAUAAGAAUAUCAAUUCUUAUGAAAGCACUUCCAAGACGGAUGUUGUAGAUAAAAUCAAACCUUUAAACAAAUUCAACAAGAGAAAGUUUUCAAGGAACUUUAACAAGCCCAAGAAGAUGCAAUUAAAGAUGAAAUAGAUUCAAUUAUGUCAAAUAAUACAUGGGUACUUAUUGAUUUACUAUCCGAAUCAAAACCUAUUAGAUGAAAAUAGGUGUUUCGCAGAGAGUAUAAUGAUGAUGGUUUGCUCAAUACCUUUAAUGCUAAACUAGCACUUAAAAGUUAUCGACAAAAGUAAGGAAUAUACUAUUUUAAUAAUUAUGUAUCGGUAGCUAGAAUAACAUCAAUUAAAAUAUUAUUCACCUUGGUUUCGAUAUAUAACUUGCAUAUUCAUCAAAUGGAUGUCAAGAUAGCAUUCUUGAAUGGGAAUCUCGAUGAGGAUGUUUAUAUGGAACAACCUUAAGGGUUUGCUCUCAUUGAAAAUGAACAUAAGGUGUACAAGUUAGUAAAAUCAUUAUACAGAUUGAAGCAACUCCUGAACUAUCGUAUCGUUUGGUUUUAAAUAUAAUAGUUUAAAUAAAUAUUUGUAUUCUAAAUUAUGUGAAGAUUAUGUGAUAUUUAUUUCCUAUACGUUGAUGAUGUGUUGAUUAUUAUUAAUUACAUGAAUGUGAUAGAAGAAACGAAGAGGUUUCUAUCUUCUACAUACAAAAUGAAGGAUUUUGGACAAAUGGAUAUCAUUUGGGUAUCAAAGUUAUUAAAACUAGUGGGAGUUAUGAUUUAAGUCAAUCAUAUUAUAAUUAAAAUAUGAUAAAUAAGUUCAAACAUUUGAAAUAAAAGAGUUUAGUACCCCUGUUGAUCUAAGUUCAAAACUUAUGAAGAAUGAUGAAAGGGUAAUUGCUCAAUUGAAGUACGCAAAUGUUAUAGACAACUUAAUGUAUGCAAUUCAAUGCACAAUACUAGACAUAGCAUUCUCAAUUAGUAAAUUGAGUAUGUUUAUUAGUAAUCCGAGCAAAGAUCAUUGGAAGGUUAUUGGUAGAGUUCUUAGAUAUUUAAAGAAAACAAAAAACUUAGGCCUACAAUAUAUUAAAUUCCCAACUGUAUUGGAGAAUUUACCAAUGCUAUUUGGAUAUCUAGCACAGGUAAAAGUACGUCUACUUCAGGUUGAGUGUUUACUAUUAAAGGAGGUGCAGUUUCUUAGAAAUCAAAGAAACAGACAUAUAUAACACAUUCGACUAUGGAAUUUGAAAGUGUAGCAUUAUCAAAAAUCGAAAAAGAAGUUGGGUGACUUAAGGAACUACUUUAUAAGAUACCUUUGGGACCGACGAAUACUUCUUCAAUACCUAUCAUGUGUAAUAGUCUAGCUACAUUAAUAAAAGCAUAUAAUGAUAUAUACAAUAGAAAGUUUAAACGUAUGAGUCUUAGACAUGACUGCAUAGGGAGAUUAAUCAAAGAUGGAAUAAUUUUCCUAAAUUAUGUAAAGUCAAUUGAGAACUUAGCGGAUCCUUUAAUUAUAUCUCUAAUAGAGAUUUAAUAAUAUUUACUUCGAGUAUAAUGAGAUUGAAAAUCUUGAAAUAAAAAAUCCACCAAUAAUGGCAACUCUACAUAUUAUUACUUAACAAGUAAUCCACGAGUUCAAAGGGUAACAACAAGUCAUUUGAUAUGUGGAUGGUUUCAGUAUUAUAAAAUCAGUAAUAACUCUAUUCUAAUUAAAUAAUUCUAGUUGUUUCUGAAAUGAGGAUUGAGUCUCAAGCUUUUAAUGAAAUUUAGUACUAAGUACAAGUAUCUCUAAAAAUAACAAAUAUACUCUAAGAUCUUCACCUAGACGAACUUCGAGGUGGUGCCGCUUCAAUAGAGAGCAUGAGUUUUUUCUUAAAAGUUUGUCGAAAGGGAUGGGUACAAGGCUAUAUUAGACUGUGUGUUCUUACCAGUAUUGUCACAUGGAAUAAUUGGUUCAAAACUUCAACGCUACCUUUGGUUCUGACUUUACUUUGUUUGAAUUAUGCUACAAUUAGAUUCAAAUCGAAAGGUAUCUAAUUUCUAUGCAUGAGUAUUGUAUAUUUUGAAUAUGAGAUCUUAUUGAAUGUUGAACAAGUAGGGGUUGCUGUAUAUUGUUCAAAAUCAAUAAUACGUGUGUGAAAUGAAAAACAAACCUUUGAGGCUAGAAAAUUAGCCUAUACGAUUGCAUAGGUGAUAAGCGGCUGCUAUCGCAUUCCUAAAGGCCCUACCGAAUAUUGAUCUAAGUUAUAGCAUAUAAUACUACAUAGAACAAUUUUUUAGUCGUUAUGGCCGUUUUUGUUGGAAAUUAUGGCUUACAUCUUGUUUUGGCACACUUUGUGGAGUCUUGUUGAAACCUAUAAAUAAGUGAUUGAUGUUGAUUACAAUACACUUGGAAAAUCAAUAUUGUGGUUAUAAUUUCGUUCCAUAAAAGAAUAAAAGAUCUCUUCCGACCAUAUUCAUAUUCUAAUUUUGAGUUCUCAAGUUUUGGAGGAUUUCACUUGUGUUUAAUUGAUUAAUCAUUUUCAAGUUUUGAUUAAUUCUGCAAAUCAUUUGUCAAUAAUCCCUUUAAGCAUCGAAUUUCAAUUCGAGAGGAGGCAAAUAUCAUUUUAGGACAAGGAUUACGUGUUCAGGCAUUCUUCUUCAUAUUUUAUUCCUAGUUUUACUCUUUGUUUCUUCUCCAUUCUUUUUUUGUGAAGACACAUUUCAAACAUUUAUUACGGUCUAGUAAUGGUGCCAUUUGAUGGUCAUGAUGAUUUCUUCUUUUUCUGCUCUUUUGUUUAUAUGGGUUGAAUUGUUAAGCAGGGUUGUAAAUCGUAAUCUUUGUAUUUUCAAGAAUAGCAAACAUAUACCAUUACAGUGAAAUAUUUGGAUGUGGAUGAAGAUAUUAUUGAUUUGAAUGCCUUUAUCACAUUCAUUUUGGAAUUUUAUAAGUAGAGAAGUGCCAUAAAGCUCUCUCACAUGUAUGGAUGGGGCUCGUGAUUAUUUAUUCCCGCGCCCUAUGUUUUGUGAGGGGACUGUCAUGUAAGAUGCUGUACACUUAGCAUUUCCCUUAUAAGUGUUGUUAUGUUAUGUUAGGUUUUGUUCCGAUCCGAUUCAUUUUGGUCCAUUUUUGAGGUUGGAACCAUAUGGAUGUCCAAACUCCGUUGUUGGGAAAUGGGAAUUGCUAUAGUUUAUUUAUAAUUGAAUCUUGUUUGACGUAUUAGUCUAUUAAUCCUAAUCUUUUAUCAAGUAGGAUCGUGACCUCUCUUUCCUUGCAAUUUCUCCUUGUCUUGUUUUACCACAUUUUAGUCAUGUGUACAGAAAUAAGAAUAUAUUGUUACUUUUCAAAGUCUAAUCGUAUUACUAUAUAUUAAUUUUAAAUUUUAUUAUUUAGUAGCAAUUGUUUGUGGUUUUGGUAAGAGUUGCUUAAAAGAAU
rnacentral:lncRNA from 1 species